rnacentral:rRNA from 1 species
AUUGAACGCUGGCGGCAUGCUUUACACAUGCAAGUCGAACGGUAACAGGCCGUCUGGUGCUGACGAUUGGCGGACGGGUGAGUAAUGCAUCGGAACGUGCCCUGAGGUGGGGGAUAAGGCAGCGAAAGCUGUGCGAAUACCGCAUGUGAUCGGAGGAUGAACGCGGGGGACGAAGCUGCAAUGUUUGGCCUGGCGGCUCUGGACCCGCCGAUGUUGGGCUAGGUAGUUGGUGGGUUAAAGGCCUACCAAGCGGACGAUCUGUAGCUGGUCUGAGAGGACGGCCAGCCACACUGGGACUGAGACACGGCCCUGACUCCUACGGGAGGCAGCAGUGGGGAAUUUUGGACAAUGGGCGCAAGCCUGAUCCAGCAAUGCCGCGUGCGGGAAGGAGGCCUUCGGGUUGUAAAGCGCUUUUGUGCGGAACGAAAAGGCUCUGGCUAAUACCUGGGGCUGAUGACGGUACCGGAAGAAUAAGCACCGGCUAACUACGUG